UCCAUUUUCUUUAACAGUUACAUUCCUUCCAGACUGUAUGACUGUAUUAAUAGGUUUUUAUCUACUGUUCUAACGAAGGACUCAUUGGUGGUUUGCCAUUUUUCACCAUUACAAACAAUACUACAGCAAAUAUUCCUGUACACAAAUUUGUGUGCUUAUAAUAUAAAUAUUUCUGAAGGAUGUACUCCUGGAAGUGGGAUUUCUGGACCAAAUGGCAUGCACAUUUAAGUUUUUGGUAAAUACCACAGAUCUCUUAAAAAAUAUAAUUUAUCUAUCCCCCAUCAUACCCAUCAACACUGGAUGUUAUCGAUUUUUUAAAAAAUUGCUAGCAUCAUGUGCAGAAAAAGCUGUAUCAUUUACAAUUGCAUUUCUCUGAUUUACCAGUUGAGAUGUAUAUCUUUUCAUAUGCCUAUUGGCCCUUUGGAUUUUUCUGAACUUUUUCCUUGAAGUAUAAAAAUACAGAAAAGGUACACAAACCUUAAGAGUACUGCUGAAUGAAUACAAGGCGAACACUUCUCGUAACCACCACCCAGGUCAAGAAAUAGAAUGCUGUCCGACCUUUCCCCACCUCCCCAAAAGUUAUCACUAUCCUGACAUCUAGUUCCUAUGAAUUAGUCAUGCCUGUUUUUGAACUUCAUACAAAUGAAAUCAUACAACAUGAGCUCUUUUGCAUCUGGUUUCUUUCAUUCAACAUUAAGUUUAUGAGUCAUUCAUGUACUUGUCUGUAGUUGUAACAUAUUCAUUUACAUUGCUGAUUAUGUUUCAUUUUGUGAAUAUACCACACUUUAUUUAAUAAUGGACAUUUGGAUUAUUUCCAACAUUUAGCCAUUAGCAAAUAAUGAUGCUAUGAACAUUCUUGUGCAUGUCUUUUAGAGUACAUGUGCAUACAUUUCUGUUGGGCAUAUGUCUAGGAAUGAAAUUUUGAAGUCAUGAGCAAUGUUCUUCAUCCAGGCCCACUAUAUUUGUGAAUUUCCUAUGAAAAUUCCUUGCACAUUAAUUAUUGGGUGGUUUGUGUUUUAUUAUUGAUUAGUGUGUGUUCUAUUUAUUCUGGAUGUUAAUUCUGUAUUAUAUCUUUUGGAAAUAUUUUGACUAGUCUUUAUUUAUAUUACCUUUUAUUUCACAAAGUUUAAAAUUUGGGGGCAGUAAAAUCUGUAAAUCUUUUUCUUUAUUUGGUUUAUUCCAUUUCUGGGUUUGAUGUCUUGCUUAGAAAGUCCUUCCCUAUCUCAAUUUUGUAAAUAUUCUCUUGUGUUUCCUUUAAUAUUCAUUUUAUUUUUAUUUUCACUUUAGGCUUUUUAAUCAGUCUGGAAUUUAUUGUGUGAGGGUGAGAGACAGAGGCUAAUUCAUUAGCACUUAGGGGAUGAAUAAAAUUAUAGCAUUUGCUGCCUUGAUUUUUUUAACGCUUAUUUUUUAAAAUCUCAAUACAGGUGAUAACAUCAAUGAGCUAAGAAACUGUCAAAAUUUUAUUAUUUUUAUUUAAACUUCAGAAUGGUCUCCUCUAAGUUAAACCUGAGUUAGAUUCUAAAUGGGGUAAGUUUUCUAUAUCAGUGCUUGCCACCCAAAAGGCCAUGCAUAUAAAUGGUCAAUGGUUAUUUAGUCAUUUACUAUGUAUUUAUGGAACUUAAUGUGCAGUUCUCAUGGACUCAUGUGUCUAAUGAGGAAAAAGAGCCUAUUCUGGAAUCCUUGAGGGAGCUUGACUGCACCAUGCAUCUGAGCUCUCCAGUCAGGAAAAUCACAGCUGCUUGCUCUUAAGGCCCCAGCUCCUCCCAAUCUGAGUUGAUGUCCCCAAAUGGAUUAUAUACUAAGUCUAUCCUCAAUUAGACAAAAGUCCAGUUCGAACUUUAUAGCAAAUCCCCAGGGCCAGUUUUUGGUUAUAGACAUGAUUUCCUCAGGCAAGACUGCCCACUUAAGGAAAACUAUUUUCUUGGCAGGCUGGUGAUCAACGUAGGGUCACAUAUGGCAGAAGUAUGUCUGAACUCAGUCUGUUCUUCCCCUUUGUCUGAAAUGGAGCCGGCUUUUUGUGCCUGUUAAGCAUCAGUGCUCACUGAGGAAUACUUGUAUGCAGACUCUCCAGUCGCUCACAGCAUGAAGCAGUUUUGUUCUGCUCACCCCUCCUCUUUCCUUUUGCUUUACACAUUUUUGGGAAGGCCAGAUUACUUGCGAUUUAGUUAAUGUGUUAUGGGACUGGAGCCUGAGCUAGGGUGUAGGGAAGACACAACCCUUUUAGAAUGACAAAGAGCAUGGUUUUAGACUGGUGAGCUGCACGUGCAACUGUGAACUGUCUGGGCUGAUUUGCUUGGAAAUUGCUGUGCUGGCCAAGCUCCAGAAAUGUAAUCCACAGUGGCCUGAAAUCACAAGUUUUGCUGCUUGCAUUCUUAGUUUCACAAUUUAAGGAUUUGGCUGGUGCCUGUCCUGAAAGCAUGGGAUUUUCUACUGUUUGUGCACACAUGCCAUUGAGUGUGUGUGUGUGCAUAUGUGUGUGUGUGUGCAGUGCACACGGGCUUGUCUGCACAGGCAUAUUUUACAGCUGAACUCUUUAUACCUAUGGGGAGGCAGUAAUUAAAGAACAUAGUAUAUGGCAGAUUUUCUUUGAUUUCAAGAAUAGCAUGUGUGGAUUUGUAAGUUCCUGUCUUGGGAGAAAUGUGAUGGAGAAUCUUACGUGUAAGUGCAAUUGAUUCACUAGCUAAAAGACCUUGCCUCAAAAUAUCUGAGGAUAAUUUACUUAGGAGAAUUCAACAUGCCAUUUUUUUUUUGAGGAACAGGUGUAAUGACCACAUUUUGGGGGAAGUGAAGACCUGAGCUUUGAGGAAGUUAAGCCUGAGGCCACGAGCAGCAGUUAUUUAUAUCACUGUGAUGUGUAUUGAAAGCCUGUGACUUUCAUUCCACCACAGUCACGGAAGUAGUUUAGAGAAGAGGAUGGGUGUGCAUUUUGCCUUGUUAAUCAUCUACCACACUAAGAGCUUCUGGUGUGGUUCAGAUUUCUGGUAAUCUGUACCCUGGCUCUACUGCCAACAAAAGGGUGCUUACUUGCUCUUCCUCAGCCUACUCUGUGGAGAAAAUGGCUCACUUCCGAAUGGUUGAUAGAUGUGUGAAAUGAUUCUUGCUUCCUUUCCCAAGAUGCCCCCUGUGUGAGCAUCCUGGUGUGUGUGUUAGAGGGGAGGGAGAGAAUUUUCAUUGUCUCUAAGCUCAAAAUAAAGACACUGGACUCUAACAACCAACAAAAACAGAACAUUAGGAACUCUUGUGUUUGCUAUUAUAAUAAAUGAAGCCUCAUGUAACUAGCUUCCAUUUUUCUCUCUUGAGUUGUAAAGCUACUCCCCAACCCCACCAACACUCACAGCCCCAGGCUCUUUUGGUUGUGGGAAAUGAGUGUGUUUGGGGACAAACAUGUCAGAAUUAUGAGGGAGAAACUUGGCAGGGAAACGAACUAUGCAAUAUGCUUGACAAGAAUUGAGAAACAAUACAUCUCAGAUUUUCUGAGAAUGUCUCAAUUUUUGGUUCAGAAAUAUGACCCAGAGGCUACAGAAAGGGAAUUACUGUUGCAGCUCCAUUCGGGACAUGAACAGGCAGUCUUAACUGAGGAGCCAGCACCGGGUAUUUCAGCACAGAAAGAUGAGGUGUCUGUAGGUGAGGGACUUGGUCCUGCUUCCACCAGGGGUAGGUGGAAAUUGAAAAGAGAGAACUUGUGGACUUUUGCUUUAAAUAAGAAAACCAGGAGGUAGAUGUCCACAAAGCAAAAUACCCAGAAUGGUAGAGCAGUAAGGAAAUGCUAGGUGGCGGGAAACACGUGCAUGUUUGCCUAAAUGUUGAGAUUUUUCUGGGCUCACCUAAUCUCAGUCCUUUGGAGUUUUCCUUUUAUGAGGGUAAACAUGGUUUAAUAGUGAGCAAAUAUUAGUUCAGAUAAUUAAAACCAUUCGAGUUGGACAGGAAACAUUCAAGGGAAAUGUGCAGGUGCCUGCAAGCAAGGGUGGCACCAGGAGGGUCUUGGUAUGUUGGCUCCCUCUCCCCCAGGAGGAGCGUCCCUGGAGUGAAGCCACACACAGCCAGAGAGGAAACAGACGACUUGUAAAAAACAGGAGCAGGGUGGAAACAUUCUGAACGUAUUUAUACGCUGUGAGCCCUGGGGAGAGUGUAAGAGGCAUCUGGGGUAUUUGCAUUUUUGUUUGUUGGAGGCGUCUCACAACUCUCUCUCUCAUUCAUUCAGGACACGGGAUUUCCAAGACUGUUGCCAUCUUAGAGUUUGUGUUUUCAGCUUCACUACAGGUGUCAUCACACAUAUUAAAGAAAGACAGUUCUAGGAUGACUUAAAACAGAGAAGCCAGCCUGAAAUUCAAUUUUGGACCAUAGAUGCAUUUUCCUUCCGGAGGGAGCCAUGUGAUUUCUCCCGUCCUCACCAUCCUGCAUUCUUUUCAUUCCAAGGGCUGGUCACAUCAGGACAGAAGCCCUCAUCCUCAGGCCCUUGUUGAUGAAUGGGAGGCAUGCCCUGCUUAAGUUUUUUCCAAACCAGAGCAGCGACUAAUGGAUGUGUAACUCACCAUAAUCCAUGGCAAGGGAAAACUUUUGGGUGUUUGAAUGAAGUGCCAUAUCUGGAAAUGCAGAAGAUAAUUGCUCUUACUGAGUGCUUACUAUGUCCUUGAUAUUAAGAACAAUAUUUCGCCUAUAUUCUCUCUUAAUGUCAUCAGCUUUACAAGCAAACUUCCCUGGAACUGUGAAGGAAAUAUCAAAAGGCCCAUCAGUUUGUUCCUCUGCCUCCAGACUUUGGAUACAAGCAGGACAACCAUUCCCUUUCAAGGACCCCUCUGGAAACCAGACCACUGCUUUGGAUUUGGUGUUCUUAUUGUGCUGGAGCUACCUCAGGAGAGCCCAGAAAUACUCCACUGCCUGCCAGUGCUUCUCAAAAUGUGUUCUCAGCAUCCCAAUCAGAAAUGUCUAGGGAGCUGUUAGAAGGUACAGACCAACUGAAUCAGAGUUUCCAGUGGUGGGGCCUAGGAAUCUGUGUCUCACAAGCAUUACUGGUGCUGGUAACCACACAGCCAAGUGAGAGAGAAACUGCACUGACAUGUAUACCUCUUCAGAGCAGGGAUCCUGUGGAAUCGCCCUCUGUUAGCCCCGGGACACCUGGCACAGUGAUGUACAGCAGACAUAGGUGUUUGGUGAGUUCAAUGCAGAAAUGUAUUUCUUAGGAAGGAAGUGAGAGCGGGGAAGGUAGGAAAAGAAAGAUAAUGGGUGUGGAAGACAGGGUGGCUUGAGGGCUUUUGCAGGAAGUGGGAAAUCUCAGGCUGACUUGAGAUGCCCACUCUUGAGGUCCUUUGAGUGCUACCAAUAGAUAUUAAGGUGAUGUCUUUCCUUUUUUCUUUUUUCCCCCACAGAUGUGUACUUUAGUCCCAGGAAUUUUUUUUGAAACCUAAUCUUUCAAUUCCAGAAUGAGUAAUUGUGUAUAAAGUGGGUCACAAGGAAGUGAUAACUAAUGCGCAGACUAUUUUAACUGCUGAAUCAGAAAUCUCUGUGCUGCAUUUUGAAAUAUGCAGGAAGGAAAAUACACAGAUGAUAGCAGUGGAAGGAGUCCUAAAAUAAUAUUUUCACAAAUUCUGGCCCAACAUACCCCUUGGGGUUUGGGGUGCUCCAAUGAUAACACACUCCUGAGAGGUGAAGAAUUGGAAUAAAACUGCCAAACCAGAAAUCUUUCCAAAGGACACAGGACCACUCAGCCUGACAGGCUGAAAGCUGCCACAGUGCCGUGGGGGCAUCUGAGUCACUCUGCUUUAUAGCACAGGCAGGGCUUCAGGAAAGCAAAGGUAAACAAAACCCACAAACAAAACUUUAAAAUCUGUUUUAUUUGCUCUUCCUAAAACAAAGAAACAAAAUGCACUUUUUUGGUUUAAUUUGUUUCACAGAUUUUUUUCAUUUGGUAAACUAUACACAAUAUUAAAAUUACCAUUUUAACCAUGAUUGGCAUUAAGUGCCUUCACAAUGUUGUGCAACUGUCACCACUAUCUAUUUCCAGAACUUUUUCAUCAUCCCAAACAGAAACUCUAUACCUAAUAAGCAAUAAUUUCCCAUGUCCCCAGUCUCUGGUAACCAUCAUUCUACUUUAUGUCUCUAUGAAUUUCCUAUUCUAGGUGCUUUAUAUAAAUGGAAUAAUACGGUAUUUGUCCUAGUUCACUUAGCAUAACAUUUUCAAGGUGCAUUCAAGUUGUGGCAUGUAUCAGAGCUACAUUCCUCUGUAUGGCUGCAUAAUAAUUCCAUCACAUGUAUGACUACAUUUACUGACAGACAGUGGGUUGUUUCCACCUUUGGCCAGUGUAAGUAACGCUGCUGUGAACAUUGGUAUGUAAGUAUCUGGUUCAGUCCCUAUUUUCAAUUCUUUGAGUAGAUACCCUGGAGUGAAAUUGCUGAAUCCUAUGAUAAUUCUAUGUUUAAUUUCUGAGGAAACAAGAACUGUUUUCCAUACUGACUGCACUGUUUCACUGUCCCAUCAGCCACGGGUGAGAGUUCCAGUUCCUCUACAUCCUCACCACACUUGCUAUGUUUUUUUAAUUAAUAGCCAUCCUAAAGGUGUGAAUUGGUAUCUCAUUGUGGUUUUGAUAGAUUUUUAAAUGAAAAUCGUACUGAGGAUGUAUAGGUAAUUUCACAAAAUGUAGGCUUUAAACAGAGACUAGGAAUCAUAACGUGCUGAAAAUAAUACUAAGAAUGUUUGUAAUUCAUUGUGCACAGUAUUUUUUUGUUAUUCAUAUUUUUGGUGUAAAUUUCUAAAUUUAUUUCCUGUAUUCUCAUCUUGUGUAUCAAUUAAGUUUUCUUCUUGAUACAAGGUUCAAAUUUUAUCCAAUGUUCUAAAAACAAUUUUUGUCCAUGACAUUUAAAAGUGGUUUAAUAUUUGAUGACAGUUGUUAUUCUGGUACCCACUGAACCAGCCUUUGAGGUCCAGUAGAUGGUUUUGAUUCCAUUGUUAAGCUAUGCAGCAUUUUGUAAUCAUUAGGAACAAACAUAAAGUUGUUUCUUUGAGGUUGAGCUGCGGUCAUUUCUUAAAAUAAUUACUGUAGUCAAAUGACAGAUCUAAUGUAUUCAGAUUAAAUCUUAAUUUUUUCUUUGGCUGUAACCAACACAUUGAUAAAGAGAAACCUUACAUUAACACUUGGUCAAUAAAUACUUGAGGGCCGCUAUUAGCCUGCCUUUGUGCUGGAUGCGGAGUACACAUUGGUGACUGAACAGAUCACAUCUUACGGGAUAACUUAUAAAAGUUCAGGGUUAAAUUUGACCUAGGACCAAAUUGUACUUACUGAAUUGAUUUUUACACGCCUUUCCCAAAAUUCUUUCCCAAAAGGAUUAGCUUAUAAGAGGUACACACCGUAAUGUUAACAUGCAAAAAGGUAGAGUCCAAAUCAGGAAGGGAGCUAGCAACGUGCUAGAGCCCUGACUUGCAUAUGUUUGAUACAAUUACUGUCGUGUAAUUACUAUGUUACUCUUUUUGGCACAAACUUUAGGGAUGUGUUUGCUUAGAGAAAAACAAGUAACACUGACUUAAUUAAGAAGAGGUUCAUUUAACUCACAUAACAAGAAGCCUGAAAAUAUGUAAUGCAUGGCUAGAGCAGUAACUAUCAGGGACCCGGGUUCUUUGUCUUUCUGCUGUGCCAUCCUUAGAUGUAUCUCAUGAGCAUCUCAUGCUCUUACCUCAUGGUCCCAAAAUGAUUGCUUCACCUCAGGGCAGGAAGAAAGAAGGGCAAAGGGGCAAGAGCUUUCUCCUACCUUCCUUUUUUUCCUCCAAAAGGAAUAUCCUGUCAAGAACUAGAAAGGGUCUGAGAUUUCAACUUACUUACAAGCUAACAAAUUAGCCUGCCAUGGCUUCAUGGAUGCUGGCAGAACACACAAGGCUCCUGGAUCAGAGACAACAGACUUGUUACAACAUAGCAAGCAGUAUAAGCAUCAGCAAAUUUGUGGUAGUUCUCAUUGCCUUUCAGUCCCACUGAGGCAAUACAGAUUGGCCCCCAGGAAUGCUUGCCCACUUGGUGGGUUGUCUUACAGGAGAGGAACCUGAGCUUAGGUGCCCGAAAUCUUCUAUAAUGGGCAGUAGGAAGGCCUGCCCUUUGCUCUAGAGUGAAACAUUGUUUUUCUGUCUUCCAAGGCUCCAGGCAAGCCUCCCCAUUGCUCUGGAGAGACAGUACCUCAAUCUUCCAAGGUUGUAUGCCAUUCACACAUCCUUGGGAAGAUACUUGGAAACAAAAGAUAGUCAGUGUCUCUGCUUGUAAGAUAUACAGAAAUGAAAGGGACCAUGGAGAAUUGUCUUCUAACAAUAUCCUCCUCAGGGCCUUCUGCUUAUAUAUUACUGGCCAGAACUACAUCAUACGGCCACCUCUAACUCCAAGGGAGGCUAUGAAAUUGAGUAUUUUUAGCGGGGUACAUUGCUGCUGUAAAUAAAACUGUGGUUCUGUUAGUAAGGAAAGGCAAGCAAGGGAUGAGGCUUUGCAAGAACAAGGCAAAACUGUGCCGAAGUGUUUUUAUCUAUAUGACCAAAGCCUUUUCUCCAUUGCAUAACAAAUGUUAUGACACUUAACUUACUGAUCCUGCAAGAAAUAAUUUGUACAACUUAGACAUAAGAAAACUCCCAGUCAAGUACCAUUUUACAAAUUUCAGAUGAGCUAUUGGUAGUUUAGUAUAGAAUUUUAAUGUCACAACUGCAUAAUAUCUCAGUGUAAAAAGCCAGUAAUUCCUCAGAACUCUCCCCAUUUAUAAAAUCUGUAUUCGUUAUUUUUACAGACCAUUUUUGGGGCAUGAGAAUUAAAAAGUCUUCUGAGAAAACAUUUAUGGCAUGAAAUUUCCCCCAAUCUCAGUGUCUAUAGCAUAAAGAACAUGUUCUACUUUGUGAACAGAUAGGUGUUUGGUAAGAGGUUUAUAAAUAUACCUUUGCUGCUUUCAUUUAUUUUAAGAGGAUUUUUUCACCUCAUGACAGUCAUUUGAGACUGGAAAUGUUACCAUGGAAACCCUGCUCCAAAAUGCUGAUUGCCAGUGAAUAUUGAUCUGUAAGCAUCUUGGCAGCUUUCACCAGUGUGCUUACCUGCCUAACAUGAAGGAGGCUUUGCUCAGAGCACAUUUAGGUCAAGGAGUCCACACCCAGUGGUGGUUAGGUACUACAAAGGACAUCUACUGAACUUUCCCAGGAACCAAUCUAAGGAUCCCACUGAAAAUCCUGGCCCAACCCUGGCUUACAUUUCCACUGAAAAAGAGAGGGGUAAACCUUUGUUUGUUCCCGUUUCAGCUGCACUGGGAGAGUUCAGAAGCUCAGUCAAGGUGAUACAUGGGGCAUGGAGGGAAAAUUCUGGAUGUGAAUGGGCAUGCCUUGCCCAGAGGCAAAGAAAUUUGCAAACUACUUUUCAAAGCCCUUACUCUAUGAUUUUGAAAUAAAAAUGCUUCUCUCCCAAAAGAGAAGGAGAGAUUUUAAUCUGGGCAGUGCACUGGGAACUUAAUGAUUGAUCCAAACCAGAGUCCUGGGGGAUGGUGAAGAUAAUGAUUAUCAGGGCUGGAGCAAGGUGAAUCACAGAUGGAGUCCACUCCUCUUCUCCAUAAACCUGGAGAGCCUUUCCCCUUCAGUGGGGUUUUGUGUAUGAGCAAGGGGAAGCUUGUUGGGGAAAGCAGCUUUGAAAACUGAAUUCUCCUUGCCAAGAACUAAUGGACUGUCUUCAACAUGCAUGAAAAUAUGUUCUGCCUGGUGACCAGAGAAGCCAAAAUGAGGCCUCCACAGAUGUAAUCUGCCAUCACUCUCUCUCCAUGUGGGACGAUCUGGAUGCACUUAUUUUACUCUUUGCUGUAACUAAGAAGAAAACAAACAAAAACCCUUGCAAAAGUCCAUUGAGACAACAGUCGGUCCCAAAAGAGGAAUUUGAACCAAGAUAACAUGAGUUACCUUUUAUCCACGUGUUCCUGAAGCCUGACCACUAACUGUUGAACAAAUAUGCUCUACCCUUUCACCAUUGCAUUAAAACUUAACCAAGUCAGAAUAGACAUUGUAUAAUUAAAAGAAUCUACACUUGUACACACACACGUCUUUUAAUAUGUUGAGAACUACAGACAGAACUAAAGAAUCCCAAGAGCAGGUGCGACAUUUCACUUUCUUCUAUCUUUGUCCUGUGUUUGGAGAGGCCACCAUGUGUUGUGGUGAGGUGGAAAUUUAGGGAGAAAGUGUAACAGAAGAAAUUGCUCACCCAUUACUUGCAGCUAUUGCUGCCUUUAUGGAGCCUGAGUAUGAGCAAGACACUGUUCUUCAGUGCUUUACAGGAGGAUUUCAUUGAAUGCUCGUUAACUGGCCUAUCAGGUGAAUGUGAUUAUAAUCCCCAUUUUACACUUGUGGGAAAUUAGACACGGAGAAGUUGAGUGACUCACCCAAUACCACAGAGCUAGGACCUAUGCCUCUUGAGUAAAAUAAUAGACAUGUCCCCACUUGCUUAGUGGCUCUGGGUACUCUGAGUAAAAUGCUAUGGUAGGAAGGGCAGAGGAGAUAGAGCUGCGGUGUGCUGGAGGGGACAAAAAAAGGGAGGCUCUGAAGGUCAAGGCAAAGGCAGUAUCUCCAAGGAUAGCGCAAUCUCUCAUUGGUGAGGUGUUGGUCAAGUUCCCCAGCCUCAGAGGCCUGUCCAGGGUUUCUUGCUUUCAGGGUCACGUUGCUCAACUGCCCGUAGGGUGCUGCAGACCUGGAAGGAAGCCCAGGCUGUAAGGCUGACAGCACCUGGCUGGUCUUCUACUCAAAGACAGAGGAGAAUGUCAUUCCUCGGUAAAUUCUCCUUCAAAUGACCUUCCUGAGAUAAGCCCUGUCAGUUUCAGAGUCUGCCCUCCUCAGUUUAUCCUCUCUGGCUCCUCUGAUAUCCAGCCAGUUCCCCUGAUGUCCCUGGAUACUGGGAGCUGUGUUCCAAGGGGAGUGGAGUC